GGAAGAAUCUCCUCCCAGAAUCCUGUGCGGCGGUAAAGUGACCUCUGUUGCUAACGGUUAGCCUGCAGAGAAACGAUGGCUCCUCCGGUCGCAGUGUCUCCGUUGAUUAAGACAGCGAGGUAUUCAGCUCUGAUUGCUGGAAUCAUCUACGGCAAAAGGAGAUACGACAACCUGAAGCCGAUCGCAGCAGAGGAGAAGAGGAUCGAGGAGGAGGAGAAGAAGGUUCGGGAUGAGCAGGAGCGCAUCGCCAAGCUGCUAGAAGCGAGUCAAGAAAGCAUCCUGAAGUAAACCUCCGCUGUGUGAGGAUCUCCCUGUGCAAUGUCCAACCUCUCCCUCCUUCUUUCUGGAGCAACGACUGCAAAGUUCGGUCCCAACCGGUCCCACGGCGCCGCGUUGUGGACGUUUUCACUGUUACAUUGAAUAAUACGACACCUCCCUGGACCAGACAGCGGGGUUAAAGUUAGUUACACCAUGAGAAAUAAAGCUCCUGAACUCAGCAUUGUUACCCCACUAACUGCUGCCUCACUCCUAACUUAUUAAAGUUCCUGUUUGUAAUGUAGAAAUUCAUAAAAACACAAAUAUACGAUCGCUGUAGUGUUUGUCUGUUUACCAGCAUGUGACCUCUGGUUCUGUACACACUGUGACAGAUAUUAAACAUGUUAUAUUACAAUGAUCAGGAAUCAUUUUGCACAUUUUGUUCACAUUAAUAAUCUCAUUAAACGCAGAAGUUCUUAA